CUACGGGAGGCAGCAGGCGCGAAACCUUUACAAUGCACGAAAGUGUGAUAAGGGGAUUCCAAGUGCUUAACUCGCGUUAAGCUUUUGCCAAGAGUAAAAAUCUUGGCGAAUAAGUGGUGGGCAAGACUGGUGCCAGCAGCCGCGGUAACACCAGCGCCACGAGUGGGAGCCAGAAUUAUUGGGCCUAAAGCGUUCGUAGCCGGUUAUGCAAAUCUUUUGUGAAAUCGUCAGGCUUAACCUGACGGAUUGCAGAAGAGACUACAUAACUUGGGACCGGAAGGGGUUAGGAGUAUUCUAGGGGGAGCGGUAAAAUGCUAUAAUCCCUGGAAGACUACCUGUGGCGAAGGCGCCUAACCAGGACGGAUCCGACGGUGAGGAACGAAAGCUAGGGGAGCGAUCCGGAUUAGAUACCCGGUAGUC
rnacentral:rRNA from 1 species